GGAAGUAGCUCAGCUUGGUAGAGCAUCUGCCUUACAAGCAGAGGGUCGGCGGUUCGAGCCCGUCAUCCUCCACCA
rnacentral:tRNA from 2 species